rnacentral:ncRNA from 1 species
CUAACGGCUCUUUUAAGAGCCACCUAUUUUUUUCAUUAAGAGAGCUU